rnacentral:misc_RNA from 1 species
ACCGUGUUGCAAUCGCGUCCCCGGGUUAUCCGCCGUAUCGUCAUAUUCUGCGCGCGCUCGGAUGUGAGCCCGUCCUGAUUGAAACCACCAGCGCCACACGGCAUGCACUGACAGGCGAGAUNNNNNNGCUUGAGGCUCAUCGGAAGACGCCGCUCAAGGGCGUACUGGUCGCCAGUCCUGCGAAUCCGACCGGCACCAUGAUGACGCGCGAGGCGAUGGCGGAUCUGAUCGCCGCCGCGGAUAGC